AACGAGAGAGAAGGAGCUUGCUUCUUCGAUCGAGUGGCGAACGGGUGAGUAACGCGUGAGGAACCUGCCUCAAAGAGGGGGACAACAGUUGGAAACGACUGCUAAUACCGCAUAAGCCCACGGGUCGGCAUCGACCUGAGGGAAAAGGAGUGAUCCGCUUUGAGAUGGCCUCGCAUCCGAUUAGCUAGUUGGUGAGGUAAUGGCCCACCAAGGCGACGAUCGGUAGCCGGACUGAGAGGUUGAACGGCCACAUUGGGACUGAGACACGGCCCAGACUCCUACGGGAGGCAGCAGUGGGGAAUAUUGCACAAUGGGGGAAACCCUGAUGCAGCGACGCCGCGUGGAGGAAGAAGGUCUUCGGAUUGUAAACUCCUGUUGUUGAGGAAGAUAAUGACGGUACUCAACAAGGAAGUGACGGCUAACUACGUGCCAGCAGCCGCGGUAAAACGUAGGUCACAAGCGUUGUCCGGAAUUACUGGGUGUAAAGGGAGCGCAGGCGGGAAGACAAGUUGGAAGUGAAAUCUAUGGGCUCAACCCAUAAACUGCUUUCAAAACUGUUUUUCUUGAGUAGUGCAGAGGUAGGCGGAAUUCCCGGUGUAGCGGUGGAAUGCGUAGAUAUCGGGAGGAACACCAGUGGCGAAGGCGGCCUACUGGGCACCAACUGACGCUGAGGCUCGAAAGUGUGGGUAGCAAACAGGAUUAGAUACCCUGGUAGUCCACACCGUAAACGAUGAUUACUAGGUGUUGGAGGAUUGACCCCUUCAGUGCCGCAGUUAACACAAUAAGUAAUCCACCUGGGGAGUACGACCGCAAGGUUGAAACUCAAAGGAAUUGACGGGGGCCCGCACAAGCAGUGGA
rnacentral:rRNA from 1 species